GGAGGAGAUGAGAUACGUGGUGAAGAUGUGCCACCUGAGGUUCCUACUCCUACACAUGCGGACUCGAGGGAGCUUGAAAAUCCAACACCGCAUGAAUUUCCAGAGUUACAGGAAGACACCCGGUGUGCACUUCUAGCCCCGGGGCAUGCAAAUAGUACCGUGUUGAGUUUGGUGGCGUAUGGUAGUGC